rnacentral:rRNA from 1 species
AGUGAACGCUGGCGGUAGGCCUAACACAUGCAAGUCGAACGGCAGCACAGUAAGAGCUUGCUCUUACGGGUGGCGAGUGGCGGACGGGUGAGGAAUACAUCGGAAUCUACUUUUUCGUGGGGGAUAACGUAGGGAAACUUACGCUAAUACCGCAUACGACCUACGGGUGAAAGCAGGGGAUCUUCGGACCUUGCGCGAUUGAAUGAGCCGAUGUCGGAUUAGCUAGUUGGCGGGGUAAAGGCCCACCAAGGCGACGAUCCGUAGCUGGUCUGAGAGGAUGAUCAGCCACACUGGAACUGAGACACGGUCCAGACUCCUACGGGAGGCAGCAGUGGGGAAUAUUGGACAAUGGGCGCAAGCCUGAUCCAGCCAUACCGCGUGGGUGAAGAAGGCCUUCGGGUUGUAAAGCCCUUUUGUUGGGAAAGAAAAGCAGCAGGUUAAUACCCCGCUGUUCUGACGGUACCCAAAGAAUAAGCACCGGCUAAUUUCGU